GAUAGAGGCGGUGCGAGGUAGGUUUGUGACGGGUCUUCGUUUAACUCCGGUGAAGCUCCGGCGAGUUCUCCGUUGACCAAUCUGGUUCUACAUGUCAAUAAAUAAUCUUAUUGAUAGGUGGUUCUCCACUACAUUCAGUUUCCGAACCACCAAACAAUUUAGAACCCAAAUAUGCAAACCCCUUUCAUUUCACAUAUGAAAAGUUACAUUAGUCAUCAACAGAAAUACUAAAACCUUAAUUCUCCAUCACGUUGAUUUGUUGUUGAUCAUUGUUGUUUCAGGUGAUGAAAAUAGGUUCUUGGACCAUGACAAAAUUAAUGUUGAUUACAUGGGGCAAAUUUUGAGUUCAUACCAUUUGGUUCUG
rnacentral:lncRNA from 1 species